rnacentral:lncRNA from 1 species
AACAAAUAUUUAAAUGUUAGCAUAUUUAAGAUGUGGUGCUACUAUGUUUAGCAUGGUUAGUUAGAGUAUUGUCAAGCAACUGUUUGUUUAACAAAAGUUGAAAUAUUGCCAAAAUUAUUUACUUUGGUUAUUUGAUUUUUUGUUUGUUAAUUUAACAGAAGGAGGGGUAUAAUGCUUAUUAUCAAAUUUGAAUCUUUUUUUGGUGAAGAAAUACAAGUUAGGCCAUUUUGCUAAUUAAUAUUUAUUAGUAAAUGUUGAAAAAAAGAAGUUAUUAUUUAGGUUUUAAAUAAAGGUUCAUGUGUAAGGUUUGAACGCUGACCCAAAUGUUUUCACCAAGAUAUCUUCAAAAACAAUUCUCCAAACAGCAGUGUUUUUACCCUGACAUUUUGUAUCAAAUUUGUAUCAAAAUGUCCCUCAGAAAUGAUAAAAAACUGGUUAAACAUUUUAAAUUUGAUAGAGCAAGUAUUAGUAAUCCAGUAUAUAUAAUACCAGAACCAAAACCAUAUUUUCCGAAUACUAAAUCACAAAAAAACCCAAAAAAACAAUAUGACUGACAUAUUGGCCUUAUUAUUUAUAUUAUUGAAACCCAAACCAUUAAUUUUAAUGGUUUAAAGGAACCCAAGUGGCAACAAAAAAAAUCAUGGUUUUUUGUUCAUAUAUUUUUCUUUUUUUAAGGAAAGAGUAUGGAAAGAUAAAAUUGUUUGUAUCCCCUUUUUGUGUCUUCCCAAUUUUUAGUGAUAAAAACCAGUAUUUUUUUUUUUUUGGUAAACUUUAUCAAGAAUUAUUAUUUGAAAUUAAUAUGUGAACUAUAGGCCUAUUUAUUAUAGUACAUAUACAGGCAUAUGAAUUUUUGUUGUUAUUUGCAAUUGGAUAUGAAGAUUUAUUUCUCAUAAAAUAAAAAAAAGAAGCCCAGAUAUUUUAUAUCUCUAGAAGUCAGUGCCUAAUCAGACAAGUUUUCAAGAGUUUAUGUUAAGGAAAAUGCUGUAUCAACAUAACCAUGUUAUUUGGAUGGAGAGUUGUCUCAUUGACACUCACACCACAUCUUGGUAUAUCUAUUGAAUAUUUAUAGCAAAACCCUUUCUAAAUUUAAGCAAAGUGUGUUGACUUCUAGACACCAGUUUAGUUCGAGUUUGUCUUUUUCAUUCCUGUUUCCUGUUUCCUGUUUUGAUAUAUAAUAUAAAGCCAACUGUCAUAAUUGUCAUCUAUUUCUUCUUUUAGUUAUCAAUGAUUAGGGGUAGAUGCAUGUUUAUUGUUACAUUGAACAAAAGUUUAAAAAGUUUAACAAACACUGGUUGUUAGAUAUAGUACCCACUUGUUUAUUGAAGCAUUGAAGAUUGUUAUUUUUUGUUCAAGUUUUAUUUUUAUAUGAUUUUUACAAAAGUCGAUAUUUUAAUAAUUUAUAUAAAUGUUUAAUUAUUGCAUAUUUAAAUUUGAAAAGUAACAAAGUAUGCCUGACUUCUUCUUUUCUUCUUUAGGGCAUGAAAAGUAAAAUUGAGUAAACAGGUUUUAUAAGUUGGUCAGUCCUUUGACAAACAUUGGAAAUCUGUUAAAGCAUUUUUAUUAGGAUGAAAGAGUCAGCAUCAAGUUUAAGUAAUCACUUGGCUUUUUUCCUUCAUCUUUAUUUUUCACAUUUGUUUUUAUUUGCUUCCACCUCAAAAAAAUUAUUAACAUGCAGUGAUCACACUCUUAGAAUGCCUUCAUACUUUUAAGUCAGACUUUUGAAAUUUUCUAAAUUAUAUUUUGAGUACCCUCCAAGCAGUUUAUGAUGAUAUGAACUAUGAAGACCCUUUUCCAAUAAGACUUAAAAGACAGUGCUGAUUUUAUGCCAAGAUAUUAUGAUAUUUUUAAGCUCUGUUGUGGGUAUGGAUUCUAAAUUGACAUGUUAUACUCACAGUUGCAGACUUGAAAGAGAGGACAAAGUUUAUGACUUAUAAAUUUCUAUUCACAAAUUAAGUUGAAGUCAAUUGUAAGGAACCACUUGUUAAACAAUUUUUUUGUUUAUGAAAAGUUUUUAAAAGAUAUUAUGGUGUUUAUUUGUAAAAAAAUAAUAUUUAGGGUAAUGAAUUAUGUGGCACAGUACUUAAAGUAUUCAAUUAAAUUACUGUAUAAUGGUAAAUAUUUGUAUUUAAUUUAUUAUUUAUCAUAACACCUGUGACAACAAAUGAACUUUCAGUUUUAAGAUUAAAGCAGUAAUACACAUAAUCCUAGGACCUGAGGUUUUAUGUUUUAUUUUACAAGAAAUUACUGGGAAAAUUGAAAAUAUGCUUAUAAGAUCUUGGACAUCUAUUAGUUUGUGUCAGAAAAAUUCAAUUGUAUAAAAUGUGUUGAAAAUCUAUUUUCAUUCUAGGACAUAUACAAAUUCAUCUAUGUCAAAAUUCCACAUUUUUAAAGUCAAAAUAAAAUAAAAUGUGAUUUCAAUUUUAUACUGCAGUGAUACAAACACUCAAUAUUCUGUAACGUUUUAUUUUCUUAAUCUUAUGAAUAGAAACUAAGAUUUCUACAUGGGUUGAAAAUAACUGUAGAAAAGUUCAACUUUAUACAACAGGCAUGACAGGGGGAAAAUAAGAUAAUCAGGUUCAAUGUUAUAUGAAACCCUAGUAUAUUUUGGAUUUCAAGAAAAUAUAAAGAAUGGGUUUUAUAUGGUUUAUAGGGAAAGAAAACCAAAUCAUUGUCCAGAAAUUUUUCGCAUGAAUUUAUCAAGGAAAAGUUGAAAACAUACAUUUAACCUUAGAUUUGCUAAUCAAAAUGGUUCUAUCACAUGCCAUCCAAAAUCUUUAAGAAAACUUGUCGUUUUGAAUGUCUAAUAAACAAAUACAAAAUCAUGUGUUUUACUACAUGUAAAUGAGGCUGUAAAAAGGUU